rnacentral:tRNA from 1 species
GAUGUCAAUGGCCGCAUAGAGUAGUGUAUUGUAGCUACAUGAAUGGGAGCG